rnacentral:sRNA from 1 species
GCAAUCAGUGAGGAAUUCGCGCCCGCGAAUCAUAAUUACCACUCCACGACAAACUUCGCAAGGAUAGUACCUGUGAGAAACGAGGCGCACCCUGGCUUGCGGAUGGGAAUCCACCGACUUUUCUCACCACGUGAUCGUGCGUCAAGUCGCACUCGACUCUUCUACCUUGUAAUUGUGUUGUUCUGUUUCCCUUUUUUUUUCGGGUUCAAUUUUGAUGUCUUGCCGGGAUUUUUGUCGUCUCAGCUGCAAGUAAUACCAUAAGGUUUUUCUUUGCUUUUUCCACGACUGGUUUUCUGGUUUUUUGCAGCAUGAGAGUUGAAGCGACAAAAAGUGGUUAAGACAGCCAUGUUUGAAACUGGGCUCGCAUGAUUGGCAAGAGAUCACGAGGAUUUGCCUGUUCCCUGGCUGGAAGAGAGAGCGCUCACACUUUUUUACAGCGCUUUACUGAGGUUUCAUGCAUUUUUAGCGUAAGGAAGAGAAUUGAUAUAAGAUCUCACCCGGUAUGAGGCGCAGUUUCAUUUCGUUGCUUACCCAUCCAUACAAUAUUGGUCUUCCUUGUUGGUCCUGCCCUCUGAACCUCGUAUUUCCGAAUAGACCUCAACCUUGUUAAGACUAUGAACCGAAUUGAUUCCUUGGUUGGAUGAAAAAUCAGCCCAUAUAUUUCCGCAGUCACGAAGACGUGGAAUGUGAAAACCGCAGGCAAAUACAGCAGCGCCUUUCGAGGAAGCACGUUCUCGCACUGGGACAUUCGAUGGUUUUCAUUUUUACAAGUUGUCAUUUACGAAGGCCCUGAUGAUCAACUAUUUUUGAAGGGACGUUGAUAAAUCUGUAACUGAAAAUUAUAUCAGCCUAUUAGAUUCCACGAUCAACAAACUAGCGUGGGGGUGAACUUUUGAACCGCGCUUCCGGCUGGAGAUGCAUAUGUGUUCGCUGAUGACUUGACCUAAGGUAAAAUAAAAUAUAUUUUGAGUUUUGGCAACUGUUGUUGGCGGGUAUCAAAAAGUGAUUUGUUGACUUUUUCAUGGACUGUGUGCUUUUCACUAUUUUGCUUUUGCUUCAAUUUGUUUUCUCUUCUGAUAUUGAAUUGUCAUACCCCACCCAUCUUGAGGUUGAAGGUUUCACGGAGAAAUUUUGGUAUACAUGUCUUUGGUGUGUUUGGAACGGAGUAAUGAUGGCAAUGUAAGGGAUGAUAGAUCCUGAAUCGCUGGAAGGGAUCCAGAAUCUCUGGUUACUGAUCACUUCCUCCGUUUCCCAGCCUGAAUGAAGCAAAAGUCCAGUAUAGAUAGAAGUAAAUUAUGGCGAUUGGACUAGCUGAAUAAUAGUGAGUCAAUAGACUACAUUCGUGGU